UUCCGUCACCAAGUGUUGAGAGUCAUUUCCCUUGAUCCACUUCCCCCCUUACACCGGUUUUAUUAGGAGUUUUUUUUUUGUUUUUUUAAUUGUUAGUUUCACAUUUGACACAGAAUUGAUUUAUCUUGAAAUGGCUAAUCCUGAUCAGUUUGCUAAUCAAAGAUUUUAUCCCGGUCACAUAUCGAGAUCUCCUCCGUCGGUCGCCCCUGCCUACAGUAAUUCUCAAUUAAACAGUGCUGCCCCAGUGUUCGUUCCCAACGAGCAUUACCAUGCCAUCAACAGUAAUGUCCACCCUGAUGGUUACUCAGCUCAGGCUAUGGGUUUGCCCGCAUAUGCUCAUUAUGGUCAGUUUCCUGGACACCAGCAAAACCCGCGAGAGAAACACAAUAUGCCUCGACAUCAGCGAGAAAAUACCGAGAAAAGGGCCCCUAAAUUCCACAACCCCGACAGAAAACGGGGCCGCUCUUAUAGUCAGUAUCCGCAAAAUAACGUAAGGGCCCCAAACAGAGGUGCACAUUCUUACAGGAUGGACAAUAGGAAUGGUAGUAAAUUUAAUGAAAAUAAUGGCGCUGAAAUUGUGGAUAUUAACCGGUCUUCUUGGAGCAACCAGAAGAAUUACUAUAGGGGUUCUGCGAACCCGAAAUCCAAAUGGAAUGAACCAAAACAUAGCAAAGACGGUUACCAGCAUGAUGGGGCCUGGCCUCACGAAUACCAUAACAAGAAGCAGCACCCACCGUUGGGUCAAAGGAAUCAUAAUUUAUCGUUUGAAAGGAAUGUUUACUACUAUUCUGGAGAGCCGCAAAACAGCGCCGCUUUGGUUGUGUCUGAUGACAGAACGCCACAUUGGGGCCAUUUGGGAGUAGCUCAUAAUAGAAGCGCCACGUUGGACGAGACUAAUGAAAGAAUGACUACUAUGGCAUUGAGUAUGCCUUCCAAUAUGUCGUUGCAAGAAAAUUUCCACACGACCGAUUCUUCUUAUCAGUCAAAGCCUCGACAUAAGCAUGUAAGUAACAACUAUUCGAGGAACGGUAGAAAUUGGUACGAUAAAUCGGGUGACAGGAACCCUAAUAAGGAGAGAGCGCCUUCACACACAAAAGAUAACUUCUCCGGGAACCACGACAGAAUGGCAAAACCCGAAAGCUUACCGAAAAAUAAGCAAAGCAGCAGAUACGCUCCGCGGCCUGCGAGACACUCUGAGGAGUUUCGGCAGGUCCGUUCCCAUGAUCGGAACUACCAGAGACCAAGCGUUCCUUGGAAAGCGAAGAAAGACUACAACAAAGAGAGGAAUCGAAGGGAAUCUUUGGAUAAGAAAGAAUAUGAAGACGAUGAUGAAGAUUCUGCUAAUGAGAUGGAUGAUGAGAACCAAAGAGAUUUGUUGAGCCAACAGCUGCGGAACUGCAAGUACGAGUGCAUGGUAUGUUGCUGCAUUGUCUAUCCUGAUGCACCAAUAUGGAGCUGCAUGCAUUGCUAUAACGUCUUCCAUAUGCCCUGCAUCAAGAAAUGGGCCCUCUCACCUGCAGCUGCUGUCGUCACAGACGAUAAUAAGGGCUGGAGGUGUCCCGUAUGUCAAGCAGUAUCAAACCACAUUCCCAGACAAUACAGGUGUUUCUGUGGUAAAGCGGUGAAUCCACAAUGGAACCAUUAUGAUACGCCACACUGUUGUGGGGAACCAUGUCGCAAAAAGAGGAACCAGUUUUGUCCGCAUCUCUGUACAUUGUCCUGCCAUCCUGGGCCGUGUCCUUCCUGUCAUUUAAAUGUCACCAAGAAAUGUAUCUGUGGCAAGAAAAGUCAAUUAAUGAAGUGCGGAUUGAGUAACGUGUUCCAGUGCGAAGAGGUUUGUGCUAAACCGUUUUCUUGUGCUGUUCAUUCCUGUCUGAAAGUCUGCCAUUCCGGAGACUGCGGUGACUGCGAGGUUGUCAUCCAGCAAAAAUGUUUCUGCAAGAAGAGCGAAAGACUCCUGGAUUGUAUAAAGAAUUCUGCUGAGGAUUCGGUCAGCUACAGCUGUGCGGAAUUGUGCAAGAAACCUUUAGAUUGUGGUCAUCAUACUUGUGAAGAGAUUUGUCAUAGUGACCGAUGUCUACCUUGCCCGUACACACCGUCUAGUGUCACCCACUGUCCCUGCGGACACACGCCAAUCGCGGAGCUCUCAGACCAGCCGAGGACGUCGUGCAGUGACCCCAUCCCGACUUGUGAUAAACUCUGUAAUAAACCCCUCAGUUGCGGCACAGACGAGUCGCAUCACCUGUGUCCCCGCACCUGUCAUACUGGCCCUUGUGGACCCUGUGAUAAGACGAUGAGUGUUCAGUGCCGGUGCAAGGCACAAGAAAAGGACUUUCCCUGCUCUGAAGCAUUGGCCUUCAAUGAGAACAAACCAUUCCUUUGUAACCGAAAGUGCAACAAGAAGCGGCGAUGUGGUAAGCACAAGUGCACCCAGCAAUGUUGUGUGCGAGACAUGCACGAAUGUGAGCGAGAAUGUCGCCAGAUGCUCUCCUGCGGUCUUCACCGGUGUGAGUCGCUGUGCCACCGAGGCAACUGUGCACCGUGCCUCCUUGCAAGUUUUGAGGAACUGACCUGCUACUGUGGUUACGAAGUGAUACACCCACCGGUACCCUGUGGUACCAAACCUCCUGCUUGUUCCAGACCGUGUACUAAAACACAUUCCUGUGACCACCCGGUUCAUCAUAAUUGUAACAUGGAUGAUGUAUGUCCACCUUGUACUGUUCUUACGACGAAAAUGUGUAAAGGACAACAUGAGGAGCGUCAUAAUAUACCUUGUCAUAUAACAGAUAUCUCCUGUGGUAUGCCCUGUAACAAGGUGCUGCCUUGUGUCCAACACAAAUGCAAGAAAGUCUGCCAUAAGGAUCGUUGUCAAAGUGAUGCUGAACAGUGCAGUCAGCCAUGUCAGAAACCUCGUGCAGCGUGUGGUCAUCCGUGCAACACCCCGUGUCACCCAGAUAAACCAUGUCCGAAAGUUGCUUGUAAACAACAGGUUGCUGUCAAGUGCCCAUGUGGACUACGUUCGGCCAAUGUUCAGUGCCUUCUUGGAGAUGAGAACCUACUUACUAACUUUGCAAAAAUGACCUUGGUUGACCUCAACAAUGCGACCUCUGGCAGCGAUGUCGACAUCACCAAAUUCUCGCGACUCAAGUCUGGCUUGCGACAAUUGGAAUGUAAUGAAGAAUGCAGCAUACGAGAACGGAAUCGCAGACUGGCUUUGGCGUUGGAAAUCAAGAAUCCGGAUCUUUCUUCGAAACUUGGGUCACCUUCUUACUCUCAGUUCCUGAAAGAUUUUGCUAAACACAAUGGCCCAGUUAUUGUCUCCGUAGAAAAAGCCCUAACAGAUUUGGUACAAAGUACUAAACAGAUGAAACAGAAUUAUCGCAGCCAUUCCUUCUCACCAAUGAACCGAGAACAUCGUAAAGUUGUGCACGAAAUGGCCGAGCACUUUGGUUGCACGACCGAGUCGUACGAUAACGAACCCAACCGCAAUGUCGUGGCUAUUGCUCGCAAAGACAAGUGUUGGAUGCCAUCUGUUACAUUAACGGCUCUGCUGCAGAAGGAACGCAAAGUUCUUUUACCAAUCUCUUCUUACAAGCACGAAGAGAAGGAUAAGAAGUCUCAAGACUCCAAACAAGGUUGUGUGGUUCUCAGCAAAGGCUCUUACCAAUCCGUUGUCGGUAACUCAGCCAAACCGGAAUCCAAACCAAUUAUUGAUUACUUUGACAUGGAAACCUAAUGUCUUCUUUUUCUUUUUUUGUUUUUGAUCCUCCUCCUCCCGUCCUCUUCUUCUUCCUCUUCUUCCUCCUCCUCCACUCCUCGUCCUCUUCUUCUUCCUCCCCGUCCU
rnacentral:misc_RNA from 1 species